AGUGAACGCUGGCGGUAGGCCUAACACAUGCAAGUCGAACGGCAGCACAGGAGAGCUUGCUCUCUGGGUGGCGAGUGGCGGACGGGUGAGGAAUACAUCGGAAUCUACUCUGUCGUGGGGGAUAACGUAGGGAAACUUACGCUAAUACCGCAUACGACCUACGGGUGAAAGCAGGGGACCUUCGGUCCUUGCGCGAUUGAAUGAGCCGAUGUCGGAUUAGCUAGUUGGCGGGGUAAAGGCCCACCAAGGCGACGAUCCGUAGCUGGUCUGAGAGGAUGAUAAGCCACACUGGAACUGAGACACGGUCCAGACUCCUACGGGAGGCAGGAGUGGGGAAUAUUGGACAAUGGGCGCAGGCCUGAUCCAGCCAUACCGCGUGGGUGAAGAAGGACUUCGGGUUGUAAAGCCCUUUUGUUGGGAAAGAAAUCCAGCUGGCUAAUACCCGGUUGGGAUGACGGUACCCAAAGAAUAAGCACCGGCUAACUUCGUGCCAGCCGCCGCCGUAA
rnacentral:rRNA from 1 species